rnacentral:rRNA from 1 species
GAUGAACGCUAGCGGGAGGCUUAACACAUGCAAGUCGAGGGGCAGCAUAGGGUAGCAAUACUCUGAUGGCGACCGGCAAAACGGGUGAGUAACGCGUAUGCAACCUACCCUGUACAGGGGGAUAACCCGGAGAAAUUCGGACUAAUAUCCCGUAAUAAUAUCCGGAGGCAUCUUUGGAUAUUUAAAGCUCUGGCGGUACAGGAUGGGCAUGCGCGACAUUAGCUAGUUGGUAAGGUAACGGCUUACCAAGGCGACGAUGUUUAGGGGACCUGAGAGGGUUGUCCCCCACACUGGUACUGAGACACGGACCAGACUCCUACGGGAGGCAGCAGUGAGGAAUAUUGGUCAAUGGGCGCAAGCCUGAACCAGCCAUCCCGCGUGAAGGAAGAAUGCGCUACGCGUUGUAAACUUCUUUUCCAGGGGGAGAAUAAUCCUGUCGUGACAGGACUUGACGGUACUCUGGGAAUAAGCAUCGGCUAACUCCGUGCCAGCAGCCGCGGU